rnacentral:lncRNA from 1 species
UUACAGUCAAAAGUAUCCAUUCCCUCUUACUGAUAACCGCAUUGGACUGGAACUUCUGAUGGAGGCGAACAGGGAAAGAGCACAAGUUUGCUGUAGAAGUAUUGUGAUACUUACCAGCUGAUAUCUUUUGAGGGUGUAAAUCAGCUGAUAAGCUUCUAUAGCAACACCAAGAGGUCAAGACUGAUUGAAUUAACUGUGGCACCUGUAAACUCUGCAACAUGACUUUUUGACCUAGUGUUAAUGGUAUAAUGAAUGGAAAGCUGAUUACUCAUGGCAUUUCCUCUGAAAGAAAGUGUUGAAAACAUGGUAUUUUGACUAGUGAGAUUUUAAAGUUGAAUCAAGAUGUCAUCAGUGGGUAUGAAAAUUUAGGAGGGACAAUCUAAGAUACAAAACUGAGUUGAAAAAGGAAGUGGCCAAUCCAAAUGAAAUGUGAAUCAGGAGAAUCUGAAGCUUGGAAUGUGAUGUCCUGGCUCCUCUUGUCGGACUAGAUAAUCCUUCCCGGCACAUGACGGCAGACAUGAGACAUUGGUGGCUGUGCUUUAGAAAAAAACUUCCUGAAAAGCAAAGGACAGCCACCAUGAUGUCAGGACAUAAGAAGUGGUGUGCAGGAGGAUCUUGCUUCAAUCAAAGGAUAAUUUUUUAUUAUUAUUAUUGGAACAAAAACAAAGCCUUUCCAGAGACUUAGAAACACACAAAUAAUGUCACAAACUUGAAGAUGGAGCAGAUGAGAAUGUGUUCUAAAUGUGACAUAGCAGGUCAGUCUUGAUCUAUACAUCUCUUAUUUGGGUACAGAGACAUUCGGACCCCCUUGAGUGCCUGUAAGAGAUGUUUUACCUUGCCUUAAGGGUGAAUAUGUUACAGCCUUUCU